rnacentral:rRNA from 1 species
AUUGAACGCUGGCGGCAUGCCUUACACAUGCAAGUCGAACGGUAACGGGCCUUCGGGUGCCGACGAGUGGCGAACGGGUGAGUAAUGUAUCGGAACGUACCAUUGAGUGGGGGAUAACGUAGCGAAAGUUACGCUAAUACCGCAUAUUCUCUCCGGACGAAAACAGGGGACCGCAAGGCCUUGCGCUCUUUGAGCGGCGGAUAUCAGAUUAGAUAGUUGGUGGGGUAAAAGCUCACCAAGGCGACGAUCUGUAGGGGGUCUGAGAGGAUGAUCCGCCACACUGGAACUGAGACACGGUCCAGACUCCUACGGGAGGCAGCAGUGGGGAAUUUUGGACAAUGGGGACAACCCUGAUCCAGCCAUGCCGCGUGAGUGAAGAAGGCCUUCGGGUUGUAAAGCUCUUUCAGCCGGGAAGAAAUCGCAUGGGCUAAUACCCCGUGCGGAUGACGGUACCGGAAUAAGAAGCACCGGCUAACUACGUGCCAGCCGCCGCCGUAA